CUCCGCGUGGGUCCCCGCGGCUUGGCCCGGCCUGGAGCCUCGCGGCCCGGGCGCUGCUCCCCGGCCUCCAGACCCCCGGCGUGGGCCCCUUGCGCAGAUUGGGGACGCUGGCCUGGGGCCCGGCCUGGAAGCGGAUUCGGCCGUCCCGAGGCUGGCGGCCCGGCGGAGGGGCAGGCCGUGGCUCCGGGCCGGCGGGUUGCUUCGGGGCGCCCUCGCCGGCGGAGGGCCUGCGGCCUCCUCCAGCGUCGCCAGGGAGAUGGGGAGAGGGUAGCCCAACAAUUGUGAAGUCAUUGAUAAGCGCUGAAGUAGCAAAUCCAAAGGGAUGCUGGUGCUCAGGUACAGCUUCUUUAUAACCUGAAUUUACAAUGAAAGGAUUCUCCUUUAUGGAUAUAAUAGAUUAGGUUUCACAACUUAAUUCACCAGAAUGUUUCCGUUUUAGGGAGCUCCGGCAGAUUUUAUUAGGCUAAGCCAAAUUGGAUGUUUGUGGUCUUAACGAAAAGCGAUUGUGACAAGAAUAUACAGAAUUUUUAAAGUAAAAAACCUGUGGGUUCCAUCGCCCCUUUGCGUCCUCCCACCUCCUCAGCCCCAGCUCCCCAGUUUGGAAAACACUGAGAAUUAUUUGUGAUUUCUUCCGGAAAAGCAGGUGACCCUGGCUCGGAGGCCUGCCGGGCCCAGGGGAGGAGCUGCAGGCCUCUCCUGCGGUGGGCUGGGCAGGGCCGCAUUUCUCCGCCCGCAGGCCUCGCUGGCGCGCAUGAGGUGGCCUUGUCCCUGGCUCCACUUCCCCACUGGGACCGCUGAGGUUUUUUGGAAACGUCCAAAUUCCCAGCGCAGCCUCCGGGGUCUUGCGUCCCAGGCGCCCCGCGGCCCUCGGACAGCUCCCCGGCCGGGCGCGUGGGUCAGCCGCCCGUGAACCCAGGCGGCUAGGCCUGGAUCGAGCGCUCCGAGGCGCUGCUUUGUGCAAAACAAUGCGCUCCUCAGGGCCCGUUAGGCGCCCGCCACGACGUGGCUCCGAGAGCGCAGGAGAACUGACCGCGGCCUGCUGGUUCCUGCACCUGGAACCCCUCUCGGCCCGAUCUGCGAGUGCGGCCGGCAGGGAGUGAGCAUAGCACGUGGAACUUUCCAGGCGCGCUAACGGAUCCGUAGGCCGCCGUCUCCUGGCCCGCCUGCGCCCUAUUCUGCUGUCACUUCUGAUUAAAGUCGGCUGGAUGCUCCUGACGGCAAUGGGGCCCCCCAUUUAUCUGGUGAUCCUUUGCAGAGGGGUUUAGUCCCCUGGGGGCUGGGGCGGAAGGAGGCUCAAACGCAUUCUGCCCAGUCCCCGGGGGCCUCGGCCAGCACUGCCUCAGUGGCGCUGGAGCAGGAGGGACAGCCGGGCCGCGGUGGCGCGCGCCUUGCAUCAAAUCUUCGCAGCGCCUGACCUUGUUUUUCCUCUCGCUCGUGGCAGCAGCUGUUUUUCCAGAGUUCUUGCUGCUGGGGGAGGGGCAUUAUUAUUUUUGGGGGUUGUCACAGCCUCCUGGAAAAAUGCCCUGGCCUGGGCCGGGGUAACAAUAGCUCAGCAGGGCUCUGGAGGAAAGCGCCCCCCGCCCCCCCCCUCGUUUUCUCCAGGGAGCCUCUACCCUUGGGCUGCGCCAGACCUCCAGGGCGGGGGCCUCCUCUCCCUUCAGAACCUACCUUCUGUCUGGAAGUCUGCCCUGGCCUGGGGUCUUGCCCCCACAUCUGCCAACCCCCAGCCUCCUGAGGUCACUUCUGGGAGAAGGCGAAGCUUCCUGAACUGGGGAGCGAUGAAUCGCCUCCCCCCCCACCCAAGGAUGGGUGGGGGAGGGGAGAACAAGAGCCGAGGUAGAGGCACCUCUGCCUUGAUUCUGGGUCUGCACCCCAAGGCCACUUUGGGUGACCCCUCACGGGGGCCUCUUGUAAGAUGACACCUCCUGACCUCCCCACCCUGGCAGCGGUGUCCCCUCUCCAGGAACCCUCCCCUUGUUUCCUUUUGGGGUCAGCGAUAGUCCGAGGAAGUUAAUGAUUAAUGUGUCUGGGGUCCUGGGGACUGGAGGAGGGGGACUGGGGGGAGGCAGGGCACUAGUGGUGUCUGAUGGGCCUGUGGUCCCCCUGUGGGCCACACUCUGGCUGCAGCACAGACACUGGUGCCCCGCCCCACCCCUACACCUGUAUGGCUGUGCAGUGGGCUUAGGAUCGCAGUUGCUGGGCUUCUCCCUCCACAACGGAAGCUGUGAGCCUCUGGUGGCUGACUACACUGUCCUGCAGAUGCUUGGGUACAUAUUUCGGAGAGAAGAGGGCACUCUGGGCCCUCCUGGGCUGCCACCCCUAGCAGUGCCGAAAUCCCAGGAAGGUGGCUGUGCCUAGAAGGGCUGGGAGAGGCUCCGAGGACUGGCCUCACCAUGUGGUCAUCUGUUUUUCUGUUACUGGGGAAGUGGGGGUACGUGGAAGGGCCUGUAUCUCCAUCCUUCCUAUGCCUUCCUUGGCAGGGAAGAGGAGGAGGUGGGCUGAGGAUCAGCUUGAUCGGGGACUCAGGCCUCAUCUCCCACCCUUUAUGCCCCCGUGGAAGUGCCCUCUUUUGUGUCUAGAAGUCCCCAGGACUCAUCGAUCCCUGAGUCGGGCAGUGCCGGCUCCACGGCGCAGCCUUGUCAGGCUGGUCAUUCCAUCCUCAGCUCCUGCCUUAGAUUUACAUUUCUCUUGUGCCAGGACGUGGACGACCCAAAGGAUCUCCUGACCAGCCAGCUUGGACAACAGGAAUUGAACUUUAGCCCUCAAGCAAUUAAGGUGGCAGGGGCUACACUUCAUUAAUGGUUGUUAUGCAAUAAAGACGAUAAAAUGGCCUGUGUUUGUGAUUUAAAAAUGCAGUUUGUUUUAAUUUACAAUUCUAAGAACUGGGGUUCAGUGAAGGACAAUUGGCUGUGGUCAGGCCAAAGCCCCCUCCCUUUGCAGUGACAGAGAGAAUUGGACCUGGAUCGGCAGGAAAUGCAGAGGAAGCCGAGAGAGGGGACAAGGUGGCCUUUGACUGGCAGGAGACAAGAUUCUGAGCUGCCCUUACAAAGUGGUAAAGUCACUGGGCCCUGCCAGUUGUCACCCUCUGGAGUGGGCCUGGAAGGCAUUCCUAAGCCAGGCAUCCGGAGGGCCGCUGCCUGGGAAACCUGGGCACAGUGACUCCCCUGAACCACCCCAUGGGCAGCCAGGGAAGGCCCCAGUCCAGGAGCAGCUGGCCUGAGGACGUCUCACCGGUCUGGCCCUGAGGAAGCCCCCCGUUGCUUCUGGCCUUUUGAGUCCCCUUUUUUGUGUGUGGGUUGCCUUCCUGUUUUUUUUUUCUAGCCUCCCAGAGGGACCAACUGCCCCCUCCUGGCACCAUCCGCCUAGUGAGGGCACCGCCUAGCCGCCCCGAUACAGCCCCCCGGGUGUGUCUGUGGUUUCCUUCCACAUGAGCGUGUGCUCCCUGAGGCUACACGCCUGCUGUGUGAAGGGUACCUCCCUGGGUCCUGUGGUGAGGAGGGCCAUCAGCCCCUUGCCCCAACUCACACAGACCAAGGGGAAAGAUGAGAACCAAGGAGCAGGACUGGGGGAGCCACAUUGCAACCUAGGUAACUGGGCUGAAGGCCUGCUGCCAGCACAUGGUAGUGGGGAGCUCUGGGGCAGGAGGGUUUGGAACCCUGCAUGGGAGGUGGGGAACCUGGCUUUGCACAAAACAAGGAAAGGAUAAUCAGGUGGGACAUCCUGAAUUCCCCUAGCUGGCCAUCAGGCCCUGUGCUACAGUACAGGCGUGGAUGCCCUCUGAGCCCCCACUACCUGUCCCACCAUGUCAUCUCCCAGCAACACCGAGUUCGACCAGGAUGUAGCUCCAGCCGGCUCUGAGGACCAGUUCCCACUGCUGUGGGGCUGAGGACUACCCUCCUGUCUCUGUCGAGGUCACCCCCAGUUGGAAGCCUCCAGUCUGAGUCCUCCAGGAACCAGAGGCUGGCGUCAGCACCUGCUGCCCUUCCCCCACAGGACCAGCCUGGGUUCCUUCGCCUUUGAUUCUGGAAGCCUCCACUUGCUGAGUUAAUUGGUGAACUUUCCCAGAAGUAAACUUGAAGGUGGAAAUUAAUCGUUUUCCUGGCAUUGCACUCAUUGUUAAUCAGGCCAGCUGGGAGGAGGGGACUCGAGGCGUCAGAGGACCCCUGAAAAGCCAUUAGCACAAACAAGAUCCGGGGGUGAGGGUUCCCGCGCGUAAUUUAGCAGCUUUGCAGCCCCAGUGCUCAGGUGCAGCUGUAGGGUAGGGGGCUUUGAGAGACCCUGUCCUCUCUGGGCCCAAUGGCCUCUGAAAAAGGAGGGGCUGUGUUUGGACCCCUCUGUGGUGCUUCCAGGCAGGGUCUCACUGAUGCCAGAGUGGGAGUUGGGGGACCCCUGAGAGUCCUGCCUGGGUUCAGGAGUGUCCCACCUUAGAACACUUGUCUUGAACACCAGUGGCUUAAGGUCUCUGGCCCAUCCAAAGUAGAGAGGACACGGCUUGGGGCCCUUGCCCAGGAUGUUCUUGAUUCCACCUCCCUGCCCUACAAAUAGUCACAGCCCCAAAUCUGCGACUCUGCUCGGCCUUUUUCAGGGCAGCCAGGGGAAGUGGGUAAAAAGUGGAGACUCAGGGGAAACAGACCCAACUCAGGGCCGUGAACCUGGGGCAGGGAGCACGUGCCCAGUGUGGCUUGGUGCUCAGGGCUCCGUUGGAAAUGAUGUCCAGGCCCCACCGGAGAGCCUGGCCUGGGAGGUGUGUGGUUUGAGCAGCCUGUGCCCCCAGAUGGCACCCCAGGUGCCCCAGAGGCCUGGGCUGUGUCGGCCCUGGGGGGGGAGGGUGUCCAUGGAGCAAGUACACGUUGGUUGGAUGGGUAAUGAGAGGUUCCUAUUCUCACAGUCUCUUCAGCCCUCUUGCAGGCCACACUGCCCACUGGUGGCCGAGUAGAGCUCACUUGAGCCUGGGUCACCCCUUGGGAGCAAACCCCAAAAUGAGAUAAGCGGGGAGCAGGGGAGGGGCAAGAGGCCUUCCCAGUGAGACACAGGAGAGACCCCUUCCCAACCUGGGGCACGUAGGUGGGACUAUUACACAGCCCACUACCAGCCCCCAGCCCAACCCAGCAUCCCCAUCCAAUGCUGGUAACUUAUGACCAAAACAAGCCUGGGAAAGGCAAAUGGGGCAGCACCUUGGGGAGAGGUGGGGUGUUGUGGGAGGAGGGCGUGGCCUCUGCUUGUUCUCUUGGACACUGCCUAGGGCUGCACAGCAAUAGGCAGGUAUGGAGGCCCUCCCUAGCUGCCGGCUGCUCACCUGUGCCUAGUGGUUGACCUCUGUUGCCUGAGUGGGGAGGGUGUGCUGGCCUAGAUAAUAGCCUGGGCACCUUGGGGGUAUUGCCCUGGCCACAGGGAGGUGAGGUGAGGUGGGGUGGAGUGGGAAAGAGUGGAGCAGGCCUA